GAUUCUCCCACUCCAGACAGACGCAGGUUAAGAUCAUUCCUGAAACGCAACGCUUUAGAAUGCAAGAUAUCUUUGCCAAAAAUAUUGAACCGCUUUAUGGAGCCCUCGCAGUAACCUUGAUGAUUUUAAUUGUCCUUUCUGCUGUUUUUGCCUUCGCUGUUACAAGCCAGGCCAGGAAUGUACGUGUCUCAAAUAGAUUCUGCACUGAAACCUGCUGAAGUUCAUUAUUAUCGCUUAGCUGUUGAUGAAGAAGCGGCCAAUAGAGAAAUUGCCAGUAAAGAAGAUGCAAUGAUCGAGCUUGGAGAACAGAAGAGAUCUUUGAUGGUUGAUCAGCAGGCUGCAGUUGCUGAUCGGCUGCCGGAGACUUCUCCUUCUCCCCCUCAACCCUUUUCCCACUCCCCACUUAGAUUUACCCCAAGCCCAGGCCCAGGGUGGAAAUUCUGGAAAAAGAUUUUAAAUUAAGUUUCAAAAUUUUGGCCUUAUUAGAUCUGUCCCCAUGGUGCUUUGACUCUAAAUGUCCCAUGAGGAAGAAGACUGGAAAGUCAGUGACGGAAGAAUUGUUUAAGCCUAGGCCCACCUCAGACAGGGCAUUUUAAUGGGGAGGAUGUCCCCAGGACGGGUAAAGGUCUAGCAUCAGUCUUCUACCAGGCUGUCUCUCCCAUGGCUCUGACCUUGACAACAGCCAUAGAGUUACAGAACACCCACUGCCGAGGCCUUGCACGCUGAGGGCUAGCUCCCAUUGCACCAGCUUAGGCUCGGAUCAAUUUUGUGUCUGCUCCAGCUUCAGAGUCUUUGGUCUUGCAAUUAUUAGAGUGGCACCCAGAUCCCAAAUUCCAGUUGGCUCAUUUAUUUAUAUAGAGAGGGGGAGAUGUUGGGGACCAAGAAGCCCCCUGAUCCAAAGUACUGAUCACUCUUCCCCAUUCCCUCUGCAAAAAUAGAUUACUGCAGAACAGCCUAUUGCACAAUCAGCAAUAGGUCUUGGGACAGAAUUGACCACAGACCUUUUGAUGAGACAUUACACAUAUAGCUGUUGUCUUUUGACACGUCCCGUGGUCCAGAGACAUUACUGAUAGCACAAAUUUAGCUGGAAGCGUCUUGUGGUUAGGGUAUUUUAUGAAAAAUUACUACUUCCCCUUUGGCCUCGAGCAUUAUAGUUUUCCUUCCCCUCCAACCUUACCCCUCCCUGCCAAAACUGCCCUAUAAGAAUAAAUCACUGCUUGCAAUAAACGGAACCUUGACGCA